rnacentral:rRNA from 1 species
UACGUAGGGUGCGAGCGUUAAUCGGAAUUACUGGGCGUAAAGCGUGCGCAGGCGGUCCGCAAAGUCUGAUGUGAAAGCCCCGGGCUCAACCUGGGAACUGCAUUGGAACUAACGGGCUCGAGUGUGGCAGAGGGGGGUGGGAAUUCCACGUGUAGCAGUGAAAUGCGUAGAGAUGUGGAGGAAUACCGAUGGCGAAGGCAGCCCCCUGGGAUAACACUGACGCUCAUGCACGAAACGUGGCGCAACGGGAGGAACAUG